rnacentral:rRNA from 1 species
AUUGAACGCUGGCGGCAUGCCUUACACAUGCAAGUCGAACGGCAGCGGGGGAGAAGCUUGCUUUUCCUGCCGGCGAGUGGCGAACGGGUGAGUAAUACAUCGGAACGUGCCCUGUAGUGGGGGAUAACUAGUCGAAAGAUUAGCUAAUACCGCAUACGACCUGAGGGUGAAAGUGGGGGACCGCAAGGCCUCAUGCUAUAGGAGCGGCCGAUGUCUGAUUAGCUAGUUGGUGGGGUAAAGGCCUACCAAGGCGACGAUCAGUAGCUGGUCUGAGAGGACGAUCAGCAACACGGGGACUGAGACACGGCCCAGACUCCUACGGGAGGCAGCAGUGGGGAAUUUUGGACAAUGGGCGAAAGCCUGAUCCAGCAAUGCCGCGUGUGUGAAGAAGGCCUUCGGGUUGUAAAGCACUUUUGUCCGGAAAGAAAUGGCUCUGGUUAAUACCUGGGGUCGAUGACGGUACCGGAAGAAUAAGGACCGGCUAACUACGUGCCAGCAGCCGCAGUAACAC